GACGAACGCUGGCGGCGUGCUUAACACAUGCAAGUCGAACGAUGGAGCCGGAGCUUGCUCUGGUGAAUUAGUGGCGAACGGGUGAGUAACACGUGAGUAACCUGCCCUUGACUCUGGGAUAACUGCGGGAAACUGUAGCUAAUACCGGAUACGACCCUCGGAGGCAUCUCCUGGGGGUGGAAAGAAUUUCGGUCAAGGAUGGACUCGCGGCCUAUCAGCUAGUUGGUGAGGUAAAGGCUCACCAAGGCGACGACGGGUAGCCGGCCUGAGAGGGUGACCGGCCACACUGGGACUGAGACACGGCCCAGACUCCUACGGGAGGCAGCAGUGGGGAAUAUUGCACAAUGGGCGCAAGCCUGAUGCAGCAACGCCGCGUGAGGGAUGACGGCCUUCGGGUUGUAAACCUCUUUUAGCAGGGAAGAAGCGAAAGUGACGGUACCUGCAGAAAAAGCACCGGCUAACUACGUGCGAGCAGCCGCGGUAA
rnacentral:rRNA from 1 species